rnacentral:RNase_P_RNA from 1 species
UCGGUUUCUGAUCUCUGCCCUCUGGGCGGGGGGAGGAAAGUCCGGGCUUCACAGGGCGCGGUGGUGGAUAACGUCCACCCUCGGUAACGGUGCGGGCGUCCCGACUCGCACCGCCAACGGGCGGGAAAGUGCAACAGAAAGUGUACCGCCGCCCGGUUGCGAAAUCGGGCGGUAAGGGUGAAAAGGUGCGGGGCUUCGGCCCUUAAUGUAAGAGCGCACCAGCGGCGGGGUGACCCGCCGGCUCGGCAAACCCCACCGGAAGCAAGGUCAAGCAGAGGACAGGGGCGGCCCGCCCCGUUACGAUCCUCGGGUAGACCGCUCGACCCCGCCGGCAACGGCGGGGCUAGAUAAAUGACCGUCACCCGCCGCAAGGCGGGGGACAAAACCCGGCUUACAGGCCGGCCGACGAA